rnacentral:rRNA from 1 species
UAGUCCACGCUGUAAACGAUGGAUACUAGGUGUAGGAGGUAUCGACCCCUUCUGUGCCGGAGUUAACACAAUAAGUAUCCCACCUGGGGAGUACGGCCGCAAGGUUGAAACUCAAAGGAAUUGACGGGGGCCCGCACAAGCAGUGGAGUAUGUGGUUUAAUUCGAAGCAACGCGAAGAACCUUACCAGAACUUGACAUGGUCUUGAUGUAGGUAGAAAUAUCUAUUCUCUUCGGAGCAAGGUACAC